CUAAAAGCUGUGUGUAAUCAUGAGAGGGAAAAGUAGCAGUUUCUGGACAGAUUUGGAGUGAAAUAUUAGGGUUUGUGUGAAUCAGGAAAUCUUUGCUAACUUUGAGAAGAGAUUUCUUCUCUACUGAGAAGGGGUUUAAAUGUCAAAGAGGCCUUAGCUCUGUAGUGUGUCUUUGUGUGUGUGUAUGUGUGUACAUUACAGGAAACUGUAGCAGAGCUAUGACGAGUGAGCAUCACAACUUAGACUUUUUAUUAUUCAGAGUGUUAUGACUGAUUUUUGCUUUUUGGACUUCAACUUAAAGCAACAUGACAAGACAAAAGAGUUUCAGGACCCAGCCUCAGACUGGAAAUUGCACCAUUCGUUCUCCUGGAUGUCAGGUCCUUGGACCUGAGCUAUAAUUCUAUCAGCUCCCCUGGUGUCAGCUUGACAAAUGCAGAUCUUGGGUCUUCUCAGGUUACAUAAUUUCUUCUGGUGUAAUUUUCACGCAAUAAAGUGCACAUCUUUGGCAUAGAGCUUGAUGAGUUUUAGCUGAUUUGUACAGCCCUAUAACGACCAUCAAAAUCAAGAUAUAGAACACUGAAGUUACCACCAGAGUUUCUUUACGUUUCUUCUCUGUCAUCCUGCCAAUGCCAGGAGCACCACUGAUCACCAUUGUCACCGUAAACUAAAUUUGUUUCCUCUAGAAUUUCAUAUGAUUGAAAUUAUACAGUUUACACUGUUUUGUUUCUGGCUACUUAUAUUCCACAUAAUGUUAUGUAUAUAUAAUCACCAAUCCACAUGGUUGUGUGUAUCUAUAGUUUAUUCCUUUUUGGAUUAAGUAGUAUUAUAUUACAUGACUACAUCAAAAUUACAUAAACUUUCAUGUUGAUGAAAAAUUACUGGAAUGUACUGUAAUUAUAUGUUUAAUUUGGUAAUAAACUAUCAAACAAUUCUCCAGCAGUGCACAGUUUCACAUUCACAUCAACCAUGGAUGAGUGUUUCAGUUACUCUAUAUCAUGGCCAGAGAUUUUCAGUUUGUUAAUAUCAGCCAUUUCUGUGAAUAUGUAGUGGUAGUUUCUUGUUUUAAUUUGCAUUUCCCUAGUAAUUUAAAAUGUUUCACAGAUUUAUGUCAAUAUUACCCAUUUUGGAGAUUUUCUUUUGUGAGAUGUCUUUUCAAAUUGUUUUCCUAUCUUGAUUUGGUAAUCAUAAGCAUUCUUCUUUUAUUUUUGAUAUUAAUAAGAAUAUUAGCCACACCCUAAAUUUAAUAUUGGGGCAUGAGGUCUGUAGAUCAUAAUCUUCUUCAACUGUCAAUGUUUUGUCUAUCUGAGUUUUUUUUUUGGUGUCUGUAUUUUAUGUAUUUGAACUUCACUAUCAUUUUAUCAUUUUGUUUUAUUAGUAAGUAAGCUUUUUAUUGAAUUUUUGGUGGUGGUGAUGUUUAUUUUUUAAUUCUGAGAAGUACUUUUUAUUACUAUACAUAUUUCAUUGUAAAAUUCACAAGUGUAAAAAAUGGUUCUAAAGACAGUAAACUUUAAUGACCACAGCAUGUACCAGUCAUAUAAUUUCGAGCAAAUUAUGUCACCCGUUCUUAGUUUCUUAGCUUUUUCUUCAAUUAAAUAAGAUGGAAAACACGGCUUACAUCAUGUGAUUGUUGCCAAGAUUGAAUAAGUAUUUUUGCAAAGGAUUUGAAAGACUAUAAUAGUAUCAAAUAGUCAUUUAUUGUUUUAGGAUUUGUCAUGGAUUGCUUGGUAGGAAUAGCUCAAACUACAAUUGUUGAGUUUUAUUUUGUUUGCACCACUCUUGUAUUGCUUUGCCCAUUAUCUUUUUAAAAUUUUUUCUGAUUCACUAUUCUUUAUAUUUUUAAUAUAAGAUGUUAUUAGAUUUUCCUUUGUGAGAAAAUCUUUUGUAUCAAUAUAUCAGUUUAUUAUUACAUUUACAUUUAUUGCUUCAUCAGGUAUACUUUUCUCGACUCUUCCUUAGCUUAGUUUACAUCCUGCUUUUCUUUAAAAUACUUAAAAAAAAACUUCUUAUUUGAUCUAUG
rnacentral:lncRNA from 1 species